AUAUCAUGGUGUGGGAAUUUUCUUAAUAUUGCUUUUAAUCUUUUCCAAGCUUGAUAAACUGACUCAAUGUCAGUCUGCAAGAAAUUAGAUAUAUCUUGUCUUAAAUU
rfam:Nicotiana sylvestris Nsyl_contig64254, whole genome shotgun sequence.